CCUACGGGAGGCAGCAGUGGGGAAUUUUGGACAAUGGGCGCAAGCCUGAUCCAGCAAUGCCGCGUGAGUGAAGAAGGCCUUCGGGUUGUAAAGCUCUUUUGUCAGGGAAGAAACGGCAGUUUCUAAUAUAGAUUGCUAAUGACGGUACCUGAAGAAUAAGCACCGGCUAACUACGUGCCAGCAGCCGCGGUAAUACGUAGGGUGCAAGCGUUAAUCGGAAUUACUGGGCGUAAAGCGUGCGCAGGCGGUUUUGUAAGUUUGUCGUGAAAUCCCCGGGCUCAACCUGGGAAUGGCGAUGAAGACUGCAAGGCUAGAAUCUGGCAGAGGGGGGUAGAAUUCCACGUGUAGCAGUGAAAUGCGUAGAGAUGUGGAGGAACACCGAUGGCGAAGGCAGCCCCCUGGGUCAAGAUUGACGCUCAUGCACGAAAGCGUGGGGAGCAAACAGGAUUAGAUACCCUGGUAGUCCACGCCCUAAACGAUGUCUACUAGUUGUCGGUUUAAGUUAACUUAGGUAACGUACAGNUACGACGUGAGAGACGACCGCGGAGGUACGGUCGGUCGAGAAGUUAAACGUUAAACGUUAAACGUUAAGUAAGUUAGACGGCGUGAGACGCGACGACGGACGACGACGGAGGAGGAGG
rnacentral:rRNA from 1 species